rnacentral:rRNA from 1 species
UACAGAGGUCUCGAGCGUUGUUCGGAUUCAUUGGGCGUAAAGGGUGCGUAGGUGGCGCUGUAAGUCGGGUGUGAAAUCCUGGGGCUUAACCCCCGGAACUGCAUUCGAUACUGCAGUGCUUGAGGACUGGAGAGGAGACUGGAAUUCAUGGUGUAGCAGUGAAAUGCGUAGAGAUCAUGAGGAAGACCAGUGGCGAAGGCGGGUCUCUGGACAGUUCCUGACACUGAGGCACGAAGGCCAGGGGAGCAAACGGG